GGUUUAAUUCGAUGCAACGCGAAGAACCUUACCAUCCCUUGACAUCCAGAGAAGGACCUAGAGAUAGACUUGUGCCUUCGGGAACUGUGAGACAGGUGCUGCAUGGCUGUCGUCAGCUCGUGUUGUGAAAUGUUGGGUUAAGUCCCGCAACGAGCGCAACCCUUAUCCUUAUUGCCAGCGGGUAGUGCCGGGAACUUUAGGGAGACUGCCGGUGAUAAACCGGAGGAAGGUGGGGACGACGUCAAGUCAUCAUGGCCCUUACGGGAUGGGCUACACACGUGCUACAAUGGCAGAUACAAAGGGUUGCUAACCAGCGAUGGUAUGCGAAUCUCAUAAAGUCUGUCGUAGUCCGGAUCGGAGUCUGCAACUCGACUCCGUGAAGUUGGAAUCGCUAGUAAUCGUGGAUCAGAAUGCCACGGUGAAUACGUUCCCGGGCCUUGUACACACCGCCCGUCACA
rnacentral:rRNA from 1 species